UACGAAGGGGGCUAGCGUUGUUCGGAAUCACUGGGCGUAAAGCGCACGUAGGCGGAUCUUUAAGUCAGGGGUGAAAUCCCGAGGCUCAACCUCGGAACUGCCUUUGAUACUGGGGAUCUCGAGUCCGGGAGAGGUGAGUGGAACUGCGAGUGUAGAGGUGAAAUUCGUGGAUAUUCGCAAGAACACCAGUGGCGAAGGCGGCUCACUGGCCCGGAACUGACGCUGAGGUGCGAAAGCGUGGGGAGCAAACAGG
rnacentral:rRNA from 1 species